rnacentral:piRNA from 1 species
UAGGACUUAAAAUCGCAGCAACAGGA